GGGUCAAACCCACCGUAACACAGAGUUAGACCCCCCCCUCCAGAGAUGAAUGUUGUCGACCGCUUCCUUCUCUAGUUAUACCAACUUUAGUAACGACCGCAGGAUAGAAAUACAGAGAGCCACGCCCUCAACCAAAACGCCACUCUAUAGCCACAAAUAAUGCUCAGAACAGCACCUAACUUCAUCAACAGGACAUAUAGGGUCACAGACAUAGUACUAGACACCAAACAUCUUUUUAACUUUGACUCAUUUCUUUAGCAAAGAGACUAAACACAACUCACCUACUCUCUUCCAGCAGACGCUUGUUUGUAGAGAGACCUCAGGCCAGUCCAUUAUACAGCGGACUACAGCGGGGUGCCACAGCUCAAGGAAGAACAUUUAUGAUCAUUUCUUUAUCAUUUCCUUGUAGUAAUAAUCACCAUAUUAAUCAUUUUACAGACGCGGUAGUUCUUCUGUCUUAGCGUCUCGGUCUGAUUGUAUUUCCAUGAAGAAAUGAUCAUAAAUGUUCUUCCUUGAGCUGCGGCACCCCGCUGUAGUCUGUAAUGGACUGGCCUGAGGUCUCUCUACAAACAAGCGUCUGCUGGAAGAGAGUAGGUGAGUUGUGUUUAGUCUCUUUGCUAAAGAAAUGAGUCAAAGUUAAAAAGAUGUUUGGUGUCUAGUACUAUGUCUGUGACCCUAUAUGUCCUGUUGAUGAAGUUAGCUGCUGUUCU